AGUGAACGCUGGCGGUAGGCCUAACACAUGCAAGUCGAACGGCAGCACGGUAAGAGCUUGCUCUUACGGGUGGCGCGUGGCGGACGGGUGAGGAAUACAUCGGAAUCUACUUUUUCGUUGGGGCUAACGUAGGGAAACUUACGCUAAUACCGCAUACGACCUACGGGUGAAAGCAGGGGAUCUUCGGACCUUGGGCGAUUGAAUGAGCCGAUGUCGGAUUAGCUAGUUGGCGGGGUAAAGGCGCACCAAGGCGACGAUCAGUAGCUGGUCUGAGAGGAUGAGCAGCCACACUGGGACUGAGACACGGCGCAGACUCCUACGGGAGGCAGCAGUGGGGAAUCGUGCGCAAUGGGCGAAAGCCUGACGCAGCCAUGCCGCGUGAAUGAUGAAGGUCUUAGGAUAGUAAAAUUCUUUCAGCGGGGACGAUAAUGACGGUACCCGCAGAAGAAGCGCCGGCUAACUUCGUG
rnacentral:rRNA from 1 species